AUAUUCGAUCUAGUGGCGAAUGGGUGAGUAACACGUGAGUAACCUGCCCUCUAGACUGGGAUAACUUCUGGAAACGGACUGUAAUACCGGAUGUCAUCUGACUACCGCAUGGUAAUCAGAAAAAAGCUUAGAUGCACUAGAGGAUGGACUCGCGGCGUAUUAGCUAGUUGGUGAGAUAGAAGCUCACCAAGGCGACGAUACGUAGCCGACCUGAGAGGGUGACCGGCCACACUGGGACUGAGACACGGACCAGACUCC
rnacentral:rRNA from 1 species